GCGCCCAUAGCUCAGCGGUAGAGCACGUCUCUUAUAAAGACGGGGUCCUUGGUUCGAAUCCAAGUGGGCGCA
rnacentral:tRNA from 1 species